UGGUUUCUCUUCAGAGCACAUACAUCUUUUGCCUUUUACUAAAGAUUUCUGUGGAGAGGAACAACUCU
rnacentral:snRNA from 1 species